rnacentral:tRNA from 1 species
UCCUAGUUAGCUCAGUUGGUAGAGCGCUCCACUGGAAAUGGAGAGGUCUCUGGAUCGAUAUCAGAACCAGGCG